rnacentral:lncRNA from 1 species
CUAAACAUUGUAGCUGGUUGAGAUAACAGAGAGAGUAACAUUAACACUACAGGUGUGCUUCCGCUCCACUACAUCCCUGCUGCAGCCAUUUUAAUCUGGAUCAAAGGUGAAUGUAUCAUUCUGUUCCAGGCAGGUGUUUCCCGGAGUGGUUUGUGUCUGAUGCUCCAGCCCCUGUUCCUGGUCUAACUCAAGCUUGACUAUGUCAAUCCACGCUGCCUUCUGCACCAUGCAGUGAAAGCUGCUGGCUUGCUACCCAGAUAACUUAAGUUUCUCUGUCUCUGUCAGUUCUUACACAUCCUAACUGCUGUGUCUGUUUAGUCUGUAGAGAAAGUAAAGUGUGACUCCUGACUGGGUUUUUAUUACUUUGGAUCUGCAGCAUGA